AAGAAAAGCCCAGAGUUCAAAAUCAGGGCUGGGUCUGCUGUCUGUGGUGUGGGCUCUUCCCAUUCUGCCCAUUUACAAAGGGGACUGGUUGAUGAAACUUUAGCUUAUCUCAAUGGAACGUAUUGUUGAUGGAAUUUCAGGCAGCGCUGAGUCUAACAGCAGGUGAAAUAUAAUCAACCCUGCUGGGGUAGCUGGGAAAGCCUUCAUAUGAGAGGUGACGUGGGAGCUGAGUUUUGAAGCAUGAAUGGGAGUUUUCCAGGUGAGAUAGGAAAAGGCCAUUCCAAGUAAAAGGAGAAAAUAGCCAAAGAUAUGCAGGUUUAAAAAAUCAGGAAGAAUUUCCUGGGAAAUGGUGCAAUGUGUAUGAGGAUGGGGCUGUGGAAAAGUCAGGAGGCUGCAGAGACAGAUACGGUUCUGACCAUAUCACGGAGGGGAUGAAGGGCUGUGGGAAAAUCAAGAGCAGGGAAGCAAUAAAGUGAGGUUUGCGGCUCAGGAAGAUGAUCAGGGAAGCCAUGGGGCAGAGGAUGGAUUGGAGGGAAUGUGGCUCAGGGCAGAGGCGCGGGUGGAUGAGCUCAUUGCAGCAGCACUCUUGAGAGAUGCCAGCAGUGGGGGGUCAAGAGGAGAGGCUGGAAGACUGUAAGGGAGUGUGGUAGGGGUUAGAGGGAAGGAAAGGGACCUAGCUUGCAAAUGUUCACCAUGACCCUGUGAAAGAGGCAUUAUCGCCCGCUUUUACAGAUAAGACAGCAGAGACACAUACAAAAAUUCGGUAACAAAGCCUCACAAGUCCUACCAGUCUACGGGACUCCACAGUCAGCUCUGUUGCCCCUAACUCCUAGGGAAGGGGGAAAAAGCGUCCAUUAAUCUCAGAAGACCAGAGUUUCACCCUGGGGUCCUGGGCAAAUAGCAAUAUUGACAGACAUCACUGCUGCUUCCCAAUAUCCUGCCUCCUUUUUUGUGGGCAGGUGCGGGCACGUGACUAGUUCUGGCCAAUGCGUUGAGAGUGAAGCUGACAGAUGACACUUCUGGGCUGGCACAUGUGCCAGCUGAUGUGAGGCCCUUCAGCUCUCCAUUUUGCUUUGUUGCACAAGGAAACACGAGUUGAGAUGCAGACUUCAUCAGCUUGGGAACUUCAGUGACGGGGCUGAGCAGGAGCCACCUGCCUACCCACGUUGCUGCCGAGUAUGAGUGGGAAAUAAUUCCCGGUUGUUUUAGGCCAUGGCCACUUAGUCACCUGUUCUUGCAGCAGAGCCUGCUGCAUACUGACUGAUAUGGUGAUGUGGGUCCUUGAGCAAGGGCAUAAAGGAGGAGGAGCAGGCUGAGGGCAGGGGUGGAAAAAAUGGAUUUGGCAAGACUGAGUUGGGGCAUAACAUUUUAGUACAAGGAAAUCAGGCUUUGGAGGUUAGCAAGCCUGGGUCCAAUGCCACCUCAGGCACCCACUAUCUGAGGGCAAAGGCUCCUGGCUUUUCUGGCCUCAGUUUCCUGAGCAAUAGGGAGAGUUGUAAUCACUACCCCCUUGGCCUUUAGGGUGAGUAGAGCUGACACAUACAGAGCUCCAGCAAGGUACCCAGGCCCUAGGAAGCACUCAGCAAACACAAUCAUCACCCUGGGAAGAUGGCGAGAAGAGAGUGGGCAAUUUGUGCACCGAAAGAAUAGGCUGCUUUUUUUUUUUUUUUUUUUUUUUUUUGAGACAGUUUCAGUCUGUCGCCCAUGCUGGAGUGCAGUGGUGCGAUCUCCACCCACUGCAACCUCUGACUCCUGGGUUCAAGUGAUUCUCCUGCCUCAGCCUCCAGAGUAGCUGAGAUUACAGGCACCUGCCACCAUGCCUGGCUAAUUUUUUGCAUUUUUAGUAGAGAUGAGGUUUCAUCAUAUUGGCCAGGCUGCUCUUGAAGUCCUGACCUCAAGUGAUCCAACCACCUCGGCCUCCCAAAGUGCUGGGAAUACAGGUGUGAGCCACUGCACCCAGUCAGAAUGGACAUAAUUUCUAUCAUAUUCACUUGAAUUUGCCUAGUACAGAGAAUGGUGCCUGGGCACAAUAGGUGUUCAUUUUAUAUUCACUGGAUACCAGAUCUGUGGGGGCAUUUCUCCCUGACAUAUUGAUACCAAGCCCAGCCUUGAUUUUCCAGGGGAUGCCCCACUCCUUAUUGCAAAGUCUCUGUUCUGACCUCUGGUAUCCCCUCAGGGACCCUUCAGGCCAUGAGUUCAAAUGCCUGGGAAGCCCACCUCACAGGAGCCUCAAGUCCCAUCCGUCUUGUUCCCAAGUCUGGCAGGAUCCUGACAGCCCCAUGCAUGUGCCUGUCCUCAGACCCCUGCAGAGGGCUGGGUGCAGACCUUGGCAGGAGUAGGCUGGCAGGCAGUCUCUUUCCUUCCCAGGCAGACGUGUGUGUAGCAAGUCUGUUUAUCAGGCAACGCCUUGUAGCCAGCGGUGGCGGCUUAACAGUGGCAGAAACGCCCGCAUUGCCUCACCAGCUGCUGGGUACUAAGAUGCGCCCUUGGCCUCAGCUGGCAGAUAAGCACCUGCAUUGGAGAGGGAACCCUUGAUCAUGGGCUGAUAAGUGCAGGGAAGAAACAACAACAACAACAAGAAAAAGCUGAGCAACCCGCUGUGGAAGGCUUUUUCAUGUACGCAUGGGCGUGUUUCUUGUCUUCGCCAACACAGAGGUGAUGCAAAAGCUCUGAUUCUAAUUUAAUUUGGUGGUCACGCAAUCAUGGAAUGAGAGCAUGUCAGAGCUGGAAGGGACUCUGGGGAUUGUCUGGUUGAACUCUUUAAUCUUCCAGGUGAGGACAGUGAGGGCCACAGAGCUGUACCGACUUGUUCAGGAUCAUCCAGCAAAGUUUUGGUGGAGCUGGAACUAAACCCGAGGGUCUCGAGACCCUUGGGCCUGCGAUCUUUCCAUCAUAUGGGAUUGCUUCACAGGCUGCCACCUGAUCGCUUAGGUGUAGACCGCAGGUUGCCCUUUGGUGCCUUAACAGUCCUCUUUAAUAUCACUAAUUGGCCCUGUCUGCCUGCAGAGUCAGAUAGAUGCCCCCUGUCCCUGCUUCUCCCCCACCACAUGCCAGCUAUUGGGGUUGACCAGUUAGCUCAAGGCCACAGGGUCUGAUGCUACUGUUUCAAACACUGUUAUUUCAUAUUUUGAAAAAGCAAGGUUCAGAUAAGAGAGGCAACUUGCCUAGGUGAUACAGCUAGAGAAAGUGAAAGACCUGGGUCUAAAAUUUUCAGGUUCCUCAUUUCAGUUCUUUCCAUACAUAGUGUAUGAAACCCAGGUGUGGGUGAAGGUGGGCAGAAGGGCACCCGGCCUCUGCAACUUUCCCCUGUGACCUGGUUUUGGGGAAGAGUUGCACAUGUUUCCUCAAGGACAGAAAUGGAGUCUGGCAAGACUUUGUAUUGAAAAUCUUGUUCUCAGUAGGGGCCUCCUAAGCAAUGGGUAUAGAUAAAUGAAUGAAUCCUUUUUUUUUGUUUGUUUUUUUGAGACGGAGUCUUACUCCAUUGCCCAGGCUGGGGUGUGAUGAUCCGAUCUCAGCUCACUGCAACCUCCAUCUCCUGGGUUCAAGCAAUUCUCCUGUCUCAGCUUCCCCAGUAGCUGGGACCACAGGCGUGUGCCACCAUGCCUAGCUAAGUUUUAUAUUUUUUUUAGUAGAGAGGGGUUUUCACCAUGUUGGCCGGGCUGGUCUCGAACUCCUGACUUUAGGUGAUCUGGCCACCUUGGCCUCCCAAAGUGCUGGGAUUACAGGCGUGAGUCACUGUGCCUGUUUUUUUUUUUUUUUUUUUUUUUUUUAGAAGGAGUCUCACUCAGUUGCCCAGGCUGGAGUACAGUGGCACUAUUUCAGCUCACUGCAAACUCCAUCUCCUGGGUUCAAGCCAUUCUCCUGCCUCAGCCUCCCGAGUAGCUGGGAUUAUAGGCGCCCACCACCAAACCUGGCUAAUCUUGUAUUUUUAGUAGAGAUGGGGUUUCGCCAUGUUGGCCAGGCCGGUCUCGAACUCCUGACCUUAGGCGAUCUGCCCGUCUCAGCCAUCCUAAGUGCUGGGAUUACAGGUGUAAGCCACUGCGCCCAGCUGAUAAAUGAGUGAAUGGUAGGGUUUUGGUGGAAUAUUCAUACUGCAAAAAGUGUUUUCAAACUGUAGGCUACUUAUUUUUCUCUGUGAAACUUGCUUUCUAGGUUUGAUCUGUGAAUGGGGUGAAACAGAGAAAUCUAGAUUUGAGUUUAAAAUUGCUUCUACAUCAAAGAAAGUCAUGAACAACAGCAACAACAAACUAGUAUCACCUCAAGAGUCAUCAAUAUAAUUGUUACGCUCAAUUUCAGUUACUUGCGUGUCCCGCUGGAACUCUAUCAACUGCAAUAGAGAGGCACCAGGAUCAAGAGGCCAAAGAAGAGACCCAGAGCUAGCAAAAGAGGCAUAGGGUUUUAUUAGCGGGAACUUACCUCCUGAGUGGUCCCAUGGUGGCGGGUGAGGUAGAAGAACUGCAACCUCUUGCGAAAGGCAUGCAGUUUAUAUAGCAUUUUCUCUCAGCACCCUCCCACUAACAACCUCCACCUGGCGAACUUUAGCCGACCCUCAAAACUGAGGCUUCAAUCCCUUUCAUGGCCCGCAUUCCAAGGGACAGGUGGGGGGUUCAGGUGUUCCUCAUAGAUAAGGAAUGAAUUU
rnacentral:lncRNA from 1 species